UACGUAGGGUGCGAGCGUUAAUCGGAAUUACUGGGCGUAAAGCGUGCGCAGGCGGUCCGCUAAGUCUGAUGUGAAAGCCCCGGGCUCAACCUGGGAACUGCAUUGGAAACUAUCGGGCUCGAGUGUGGCAGAGGGGGGUGGAAUUCCACGUGUAGCAGUGAAAUGCGUAGAGAUGUGGAGGAACACCGAUGGCGAAGGCAGCCCCCUGGGAUAACACUGACGCUCAGGCACGAAAGCGUGGGGAGCAAACAGG
rnacentral:rRNA from 1 species